AGAGCAAAGUAGGUCAACCAGGG
rnacentral:misc_RNA from 1 species